UGUAGUUGUAGUAAUCAUGUUUAUGUAGUUGUAGUAAUCAUGUAUGAGGUGGGUUGUGUUUAUGGAGUUCAUGAAAAUAUAAUUUUCUUGAGAAGUUAAUUGUCUUGAAUAACUACUUCCAAGUGUUAAAAUAAUAUUCAGGGCUUUUAUAAAAUGUCUGAGACAAGCUCUGCCAGUCCAAAUCUCAAUGGCAGGAUGUACAUCAAAUUUGACAACACACCUAUUUUACAAGCUUCCCUUCUGACCGCUAAGGGCCCCAUUUAUUCAACAUUUGCACUUUACAUCAGGUAUCAAUAUUGCACAGUAAGUUUACCAUAGGGAAUUGGACAUAAAAGGUUAAAUGAAAAGGUAAGAAUAAAGGUUCAGAAAGUGAAUCAUUUAUCAAGUAUAAAUGAAGACAGUUGGCUGUUGUAGCUUUGGUGUUUCAUCUAAUAAAAACAGGUGCAAACUUUUCACCAGUUCCAAAUG